UGGGGAAUAUUGGACAAUGGGCGAAAGCCUGAUCCAGCCAUGCCGCAUGAGUGAAGAAGGCCUUUGGGUUGUAAAGCUCUUUUAGUGAGGAAGAUAAUGACGGUACUCACAGAAGAAGUCCUGGCUAACUCCGUGCCAGCAGCCGCGGUAAUACGGAGAGGGCUAGCGUUAUUCGGAAUUAUUGGGCGUAAAGGGCGCGUAGGCUGGUUAAUAAGUUAAAAGUGAAAUCCCGAGGCUUAACCUUGGAAGUGCUUUUAAAACUAUUAAUCUAGAGAUUGAAAGAGGAUAGAGGAAUUCCUGAUGUAGAGGUAAAAUUCGUAAAUAUUAGGAGGAACACCAGUGGCGAAGGCGUCUAUCUGGUUCAAAUCUGACGCUGAAGCGCGAAGGCGUGGGGAGCAAACA
rnacentral:rRNA from 1 species